UUUCUAUUAGGACACCAGUCAUAGUGAACCAGGGCCCUCCCUAUUGACCUUAUCUAAACUAAUUAUAUUUGCAAUGACCCCAUUUCCAAAUCAGGUGAUUCCAGGAUACUGAGUAUUGGGACUUCAACAUAUGGAGUUUGAGGAGACACAAUUCAACCCAUAACAAAUGGCAAGAAAGCAGGACACAGUGGGUGAUAUAUUCAUGAAAGUUACCAGUAUGAAUAAGAACAAGACCUAAAGGCUUUAUGUGCAGAUGAAAAACAAAGCGUUGAGAGAACAAUAGCCAAUAAAGAGAUGUGAAUGUUGAUGGGAGGAGAAUGUGUGUCAGUCUUAGCAUUAUAAUCCUGUAGGGUUGUGGACAGCCAUUGACAUCACUGUGUUUUUGCACAAUCAAGCAGUAUUUGGGAGAAAGUCUGUGCUCUUUUCUCCUUGACUAACAACAAAACCAAUUGAUUUAGCCUAAUAUAUUUGUACUGAAAUUUAUUUCCACCAGUUAUUUACAUUUUUAUUUUUAUUUAUUUUUCUUUUUGUAGAAAUGGGAUCUCCCUGUGUUGCCCGGGUUGGUUUUGAACUGCUGAGCUCAAGCAAACCUCCUGUCUUGGCCUCUCAAAGUGCUGGAGUUAAAGGGACAUGGAUGAAUCUGGAGAACAUCAUUCUCAGCAAACUGACACAAGAACAGAAAAUGAAAUACAGCAUAUUCUCACUCAUAGGAAAUGUCUGCUACAGACACAGACUGAAGUGGCGUAUAUCGUGCUGAUUCAGAAGAGAAUGAAGGCAUUUGUCAAGAGAUAAUGUCAGACUAAUCAGACAUGUUUCAACUGAUUAUUGCAUUUGGAGGAUUUCCAAAUAUUUCUUGAUCUAAGGAAGGUGAGGUGAGGCUAAUCCAUGAUUUGUCAAUCCCACUGAAAAACUAUAAAAGCACAUUUAUGCAUACGUAGGUAUGCUUCUUUGCUCCAGAAAAUAGAUCAAUAAUUAGAUCUUAUGAGGAAGGUCCCCUUGUGAUAAUGUAAGAAUUUAACUUUGAUUUGUUCCUACUGUAACUGGAUAAUUAAUUUUAAUUUUCAAAGCCUGAGUCUGUGAGAAAAUGAUUUAGAAUUAAUAACUGACCUCCAGCUGUUGAAUAAAUUAUUAUUUUGAUUACUGAAAAUAUAUGUGUGGAGACUAAUAUCAGUAGAAGAAAUAAAGAGACUCCUAAUAAGUAGAUGGGUUUUAAGUUCAGUUUGGGGAGUGCAUUUAUGCUUUGUUACUAAGAGUUAAAUUCCAUGGUAACUCAGCAAGCAGUAUGUUAGUUUAACCAUGAAACACUUUAUAAUAGGCAUUGCACAUAAUUGUCUACUCAUAUAUUAGGUGCAGCCUUUUCAAAAACACAGAGAAAUUGAGGCAUAUAUAGGAAAAUGUAAAAUAUUAAGGGGUUGAUUUUAAUUGUUUCUUGUAAGUAACAUCUUAGGCAGGGGUGUGUGCCUUUAGGGAAACAAAUGGUUUUAAUAUGACAUUUGUAUUUGUUACAGAUAACUAAAUUGCAUAACAGGAGAAUUAUGCCUAUAAAAUGUGUAUUUCCAAAACAUGUCAGUUGAGAUUUGUUUUAUUAGUUUUGUCCUUAUGUCUUUAUGGCUGAGGUUAUUAAUAUUACUACUCUUCUCUCAGACACGUGGUUUAAAAUGCAGUCAUCUUUGACUCAUCUUUAUUUUCUCCUGUUAUUUUCUCUCUCCCUUAUUUCAAACCAUGUAUCCAGUAUCUAUCUAUCUAAUUCAUGGUUCUUUGUAUAACGUUUACCUUCUCAGAAACCACCAAUGAUUCACCAUUGCAUACUGUGUUUUAAGUUAAACCCUUUUUUUGCUAUUAAUGAUACCAAUAUUACUAAGAAAAUUCACAUUUUCAACAAUUGUAUUAUAAACUCAAUUCUUUCAAUGUGUAUGUGUUAAGAGAAAGUAAGGAAGGGACUAAAAUAAUACCAGACAACAAUAACCAAGUUAUAUUCUAUUAAAAAAUUUCUUUGAUGAAAUUAUUAUUCAAACUGGGUAUGGUAGUAUUUUGUGAGAGCUACAAACAAUAAACAAAACCAACAAAAAUAAACCAAAACGUUCCCAGGAAGUUACUGAAGAGCAUGUAAGAUCAGACAAGAAUCAAUAAACUUUGUACAGUCAAUAUGAAUUCUAGUGUUGUUUACAACUUCCAGCAGGAAACAGAAGAAAGAACACCAGCUGAGCAUCCAUUUAUUGCACAACAAGCAGGUGCGAGUUCCUACUCUGUUUACUCAAUAGCAUUUUUCCACUGAACAAGGUGCUUCUUCCCAGUCACAAUAACAUUAUAUUAUAUCCAACAGCUGCUGGAGUAGUGGCAAUCUUUCCCUUUAAUUAUUCAAUUGUGUUCUCUCUAAUUCAUAUCUCAAAAACUCACACAGUAGGAGACAUGCCUAAACAAAUUCUUUAGUCUAGGAGUCAGGCAAGGCCCCCACAACAUAGUCUUAUUUUACUUAACCAGUUCACUUUCUCCUGUGUCCUCAAAAUAUAGUAUAGCCUAGUGAUUAGGAAUACUGGCUUGACAGUCACUUCACCUCGGUUUACAAUCAUAACUCCCAUACUUGUCAAUUGUGCUCUUGGAAGUAGUUAUAUGAACACUUUGUACCUUAAUGUCUUCCUCUGUACAAUGGUGAUAAUUUGAUACUACUACUCUCAUAACCUUAUUGGAGAAUUAGAUCACAGUCAUUAGUUCUACCUGUAUAUACUAUUGGCUAUGCCUGGCACUCAAUCCUCAAACAUCAAAGAGAGCUAUUGUUUCCCUCCUGCAUCUGGAUGGCUAUUUCCUAAACAUAAGCCUCUUUAGCUCGUUGCUCCCUUGAUAAACAUGCCAUUUCAUUCUUCUUAGCCUGCUAAAAUCUCAAUUACCCCUGUAGAUCUAUUUAUAAUACAUAUCUUUAUAAUCCUUUUGAUCUGUUCAAAUGAAUAAAAUUUCACUUCCCUUUCUACUUCCUUUCCUCUGAGAUUUAAGACCAUUAAAGUAAUUUUAUAUGUAUAUAUGUUUUUCCCCUUUGCCAACCUUUCAACCUACAGUAACAAGUUAUGAAUCUAUUGGUUUAAAAUACAGCAAAAUUCCAGGUUCUAUUUUUGGAUUUGCCAAGCAUAUGAUGGGAAACAAAUCUGAGAAAAAGAAGGAUGGUAGGUGCUUCCCUCUUUUGAACUGUGGUCAUUUUGGUAAGAACACUUUACUCAAUUAAAAGGUAAUCAAGUGGUUCCAGGCCUGCUACUAAAUACUUAUGAGAUGAUAUUUGGAAAUAUGUAUUUCUUCUUUGCGUCAUUAAGCCACAGUAUGUGCCCAAGGUUCUCAAUAAAUGGCUGAUUAUCUGUCAGAAUAUUCAGUGAUCUGGUGGCUGGCACUAAUAGCUCAGAAUAAGCCAUGUUUAACAGAGGAUCCAUCUGGAUGCUUGGUCACUAGUGAUAGGUAAUACUAGUGGCAGAAUUCAGUUUCUCUGAACCUGUGAAAACGUCCUGAUUUUAUUUGAAGUUCAUUUUACUUUCUGUGAGAUGAAUUUGAGAUCAGAGCAAAAUAUUCAACUCUAUUUCUGUUAAUCUUGCCCAAACUAUAAUCCAGGUUGUUUGUUGUGAACUGAACGCGAGCCCAGGAAUCUCGUCCAGCGAGAGGGUCUCAAACCUUUCCGCGUGUGCGGAAAGAGACAGAGAGAGGAGGGGUCUGGAGGACUGGAUGGGCUAUGCCCAUACAACGAUUUUAUUGUGCAGUAGGUUUCCUUAUAUACUUUUUUCUUUAACGUCAUUACCUCAAUGCAGAUCAUUACUCAAACAUAAAAGGAACAGAAAAUUCCUUGGGGGAUGAUUCUGAGGAACUGUCAAAGGGAACAAAUACUAAUGUAAAAGAUCAAUGGGAAAUAGGUGAUGCUGAUUAUCGAUAUUGUCAGAACAAUCAGUAACUUGGAUAACAAUCUUUAAUUAACUAGAAGUCACAAGCUCAGCAGUAAACCGUGCAUCUGCGAGAGACAAGGAGGUCGCUAGGCUGAAACAAUGCCUAGUAAACAAAGUAUUAGAUCAGGAGCCAGAAAGGGGAACACAAUACCCAAUUAACUCACUUCAGUGUUCACCUGGCCAUUAUCUCCUCGGCCAAGAAGGCUGAGGAUAGUGUCCUGCUUGAUCAUUCUCAAUUUCCUCUUUCAUUCUCUUCUUAAUUUCCUCUCACUCAUAGCUCAACAGCCUCCAGCCAGGGAAAAUGUGUAAGGAGUCAAGCUCACCUAAUGGCGGAGGCCAAGUUGUUAGCCUCUCGCAGGGGCGACCCCCACAGUUGUUUCUUAACACACAUUUGCAUUUUUCACAAAUAUCGCUUUUAACAUUUUUAAUGAAAUUAAAAUCUAUGAUUAACAUUAAUAUUGUUCAAGUAGCAUUUGUAAUAUAAAAGUUUCAAAAAUGAAGAUAAUUUUCUCUACUGGAGAUUUAUUUUGCCAUUUUUUAACUUGGAAGUCCAGGACUCAAACAAAAGUAGUGUUUGAAAACUGUUGGGGUUGAUUAUUACUUAUACUGGAAG
rnacentral:lncRNA from 1 species